AUUAAAUGUGGAAUACUAGGAAGAGUAAGAAAGAAUGCUGCAUCUUUCCUAGCUCCAAUAGUGAUCACAGUUUAGCUAACUGUGUAGGAUUUGCCUUGCUUUUGCCAUCAGCUGUGUGUAAUCAUCAACGUUUUUUCCAUGCUUUCCUUACCCACAAUUCAUUAUGAAGUAACCAGCAAGCAUGUCAUACGAAGUUGUUAAGCCCAUUUGGACCCAACUUUUCCAUAUGAAUUUUUCGCCUGACACCUGCUGAUAAUGUAUGUAGUUC
rnacentral:lncRNA from 1 species